UUUGAUUUGAUUUGGUUUUAGAUUUGUUUCAUGUAAUUGUAUCUGUGUUGCGUUUACAUUUGAAAGUCCUCGUCUGAAAUCUCAUAUUUUAUCCACUGCAGCUGCAUGAGUGUGUUUUGUGUUCCUGCAGGGCAGUUCUGCAGUGGGGUGAGUGUAGCUGCAUGAGUGUGUUUUGUGUUCCUGCAGGGCAGUUCUGCAGUGGGGUGAGUGUAGCUACAUGAGUGUGUUUUGUGUUCCUGCAAGGCAGUUCUGCGGUGGGGUGUGUGUAGCUGCAUGAGUGUGUUUUGUGUUCCUGCAGGGCAGUUCUGCAGUGGGGCGUGUGAAGCUGUCAUUCUGGUUCUUAGGGUUCUCAGUGCUGUUCUCGGUCUGGCGUUUUUCAUCGUGAUCCUGAUCAAAUGCAGAGCUGCACUCAGAACACAGAACACAGACCCUGGUAAUCUUACAGCGUCUCCACCUGAGCAGGACUCAUGCGUGUAGCACGCAGCUCUAAGCUUCAACGAGAGGGAGAAGAGAAGAAGGACCCUCCACAGAGAAAGCACAUAUACGUGUGUCUUAUAUUUUGCUAUAACACCAAAGCUAUACAAAAAGUUGCAUUGAUGCUGUUGUAUUUCACUGCUAUACACUGUUCAGAAUUACUGUGUUCUGGUUCAGUCCAAUUUGUAUUAUGAACAAGAUAUC
rnacentral:lncRNA from 1 species